AUGUGCCGGAACUUGAAUUCUAUCUCGUCGAAAUUCUGGUGGGGGGCAAGGGAUGGUGAGAGAAAAGUACACUGGAUUUCAUGGCAGAAGAUGUGCACCUCAAAGCGGGAUGGAGGAAUGGGAUUCCGCGAUCCGGCAGCUUUUAACCAGGCCCUACUUGCAAAGUAGGCCUGGCGAGUCCUGCAGUGUCCGGAGUCGUUGGUGGCGAGGGUGCUGAAGGCGCGCUACUUCAGAGAAGAGUCCAUAUUGAGUGCAACAUGCCCUGCUGCAGCAUCAUAUACUUAUAGAAGCAUUUUGCAUGGCAGAGAUCUUCUUCGAGAGGGACUGGUUUGGAGAAUUGGAGAUGGUUCAAAGGUGAGCAUACAUCACAGUAACUGGAUCCCGAGGAGCGGGUCCAUGAAGCCUUUGGGCCAGGUAUAUACCCCGGGCGUGACUAAAGUGGCAGACCUCCUCUUGCGAUCGGGUCCUGGAGAUGUUCACCCCGGACGAUGCCAAUGA
rnacentral:rRNA from 1 species